UACGUAGGGUGCGAGCGUUGUCCGGAAUUAUUGGGCGUAAAGAGCUCGUAGGCGGUUUGUUGCGUCGGCUGUGAAAACCUGCGGCUUAACUGUGGGCUUGCAGUCGAUACGGGCAGACUUGAGUUCGGCAGGGGAGACUGGAAUUCCUGGUGUAGCGGUGAAAUGCGUAGAUAUCUGGAGGAACACCGGUGGCGAAGGCGGCAUCCUGGACCGGUAUUGACGCUGAGGCGCGAAAGCCAGGGGAGCAAAGCGGG
rnacentral:rRNA from 1 species